rnacentral:rRNA from 1 species
AUUGAACGCUGGCGGCAUGCUUUACACAUGCAAGUCGAACGGCAGCGCGGGCUUCGGCCUGGCGGCGAGUGGCGAACGGGUGAGUAAUAUAUCGGAACGUACCCGGGAGUGGGGGAUAACGUAGCGAAAGUUACGCUAAUACCGCAUACGUCCUAAGGGAGAAAGCGGGGGAUCGCAAGACCUCGUGCUCAUGGAGCGGCCGAUAUCUGAUUAGCUAGUUGGUGGGGUAAAGGCUCACCAAGGCAACGAUCACUAGCUGGUCUGAGAGGACGACCAGCCACACUGGAACUGAGACACGGUCCAGACUCCUACGGGAGGCAGCAGUGGGGAAUUUUGGACAAUGGGGGCAACCCUGAUCCAGCAAUGCCGCGUGAGUGAAGAAGGCCUUCGGGUUGUAAAGCUCUUUUGUCAGGGAAGAAACGACCCCUUCUAAUACAGGGGGUUAAUGACGGUACCGACAGAAUAAGCACCGGCUAACUCUGUGCCAGCCGCCGCGGUAAGAC